GGGGGGGGGGGGGGGGGGGGGGGGGGGGGGGGGGGCGGGGGGGCUCUGCGGGGGUGGUGGGGGGCGGGUGGGGGAGGCGGGGGGACGUGCCGGGAGGGUCGGAAUGACUCGGGGGAACGUGUUCGAAUACCGGCUGUGCCCUGCGGGGGACAGAUUUCUGGCCUUUAGAGCGGCCCGCGUCCUAUUAGGUCGGUGGUGAGGUGCAGGCUCACCAAGGCGACGGUCAGUAGCUGGUCUGAGACGAUGAUCAGCCACCUUGGGACUGAGACACGGCCCCAACUCCUACGGGAUGCAGCAGUGGGGAAUCUUGCGCAAUGGGCGAAAGCCUGACGCAGCCAUGCCGCGUGAAUGAUGAAGGUCUUAGGAUUGUAAAAUUCUUUCACCGGGGACGAUAAUGACGGUACCCGGAGAAGAAGCCCCGGCUAACUUCGUG
rnacentral:rRNA from 1 species